rnacentral:rRNA from 1 species
AUGAAGCUUUACACAGUUAUUCCCGCCUUGCUGCCCGCGUGCUUCCUGUUCCCCUUUCUUCCUCCGAACCUCUGCUCCUAUUUCCAAUCUGACCUGAGCUCCGCCCCCUCCAUUGCUAUGGCGCCAGCUAGCAGAGAGAAGGGGAAGAAGCAUGUGUCCUCGUCGGGCUCCCCUCCUGCAGUCGAGCCCGCCAUCGACCGGUCACUGGUUCUCAAUCUGGAGGCCUUGGAGAAGGUCCGCCCCGCACUCGCCACUAGUUUCAACGAGUGCGGUAGGAUGGCGGUUUGGCCCGCAUCCCACGCCUCCAUCGACAGGGUUGUAACAAAGGUUCGAUUCUUCGUUGACGCGUUGUGGGCAGGCCUGGUUCCCCCUUUCUCUGCUUUCUUCAAUGCAAUGCUUUCCUACUAUCAGAUCCACAUGAUGCAUCUCGAUCCUCAAUCCAUUAAUCUUCUUGCUGUCUUCGCCUUUGUCUACGAAGCCAUGGUGGGCAUUGCCGCUUCAGUUUCUCUCUUGCGCCACUUCUUCUCCUUGCGCCUGACCGACCCGCCGCAGUGCUCAAGGUGCGUGAGCUUCCAGGACGUGGCCGAGACGGCCGCCUCAGGGAUUGAUUUUAGCCUUUCAACUUCUAUGAACGGGUUUCGGACGCGGUGGCUAUAUGUGGAUGUCUGA